rnacentral:rRNA from 1 species
UACGUAGGGUGCAAGCGUUAAUCGGAAUUACUGGGCGUAAAGCGUGCGCAGGCGGUUAUGUAAGACAGUUGUGAAAUCCCCGGGCUCAACCUGGGAACUGCAUCUGUGACUGCAUAGCUAGAGUACGGUAGAGGGGGAUGGAAUUCCGCGUGUAGCAGUGAGAUGCGUAGAUAUGCGGAGGAACACCGAUGGCGAAGGCAAUCCCCUGGACCUGUACUGACGCUCAUGCACGAAAGCGUGGGGAGCAAACAGG